rnacentral:rRNA from 1 species
UACCAGCACCCCGAGUGGUCGGGACGUUUAUUGGGCGUAAAGAGCUCGUAGGCGGUCCAUUAAGUCGGAAGUGAAAUCUCAGGGCUCAACCCUGAAAUUGCUUUCGAUACUGGCGGACUUGAGGCAAGUAGGGGAGAGCGGAAUUCCUGGUGUAGCGGUGAAAUGCGCAGAUAUCAGGAGGAACACCGGUGGCGAAGGCGGCUCACUGGCCCGAUACUGACGCUGAGGCGCGAAAGCGUGGGGAGCAAACAGG